AUUGUGGCGAGUAUCGUGGCGAGAAGUAUAAGUACGUAUAUAUAAAUAUAUAUAUAUAUAUAUAUAUAUAUAUAUAUUUAUAUAUACGUACUUAUACUUCUCGCCACGAUACUCGCCACAAU